rnacentral:rRNA from 1 species
UCAGGUGGCCGCAGAGAAUAGGCCCAAGCGACUGUUUACCAAAGACAUAGGUUUCUGCUAAGUCGCAAGACGAUGUAUAGGAGCUGACGCCUGCCCGGUGCUGGAAGGUUAAGGGGAUCUGUUAGAGCAAUCGAAGCAGUGAACUUAAGCCCCAGUAAACGGCGGCCGUAACUAUAACGGUCCUAAGGUAGCGAAAUUCCUUGUCGGGUAAGGUCCGACCCGCACGAAAGGCGUAACGAUUUGGGCACUGUCUCAACAACAGACUCGGUGAAAUUGUAAUUCCGGUGAAGAUGCCGGAUACCUGCGACAGGACGGAAAGACCCCAUGGAGCUUUACUGUAGCUUGACAUUGGGUCUUGGUACUACAUGUACAGGAUAGGUGGGAGGCUUUGAAACCAGGACGCCAGUUUUGGCGGAGCCAUCCUUGGGAUACCACCCUUGUAGUACUGGGAUUCUAACCAUAGGACAUGACUCUGGUCUGGGGAAACUGUCAGGUGGGCAGUUUGACUGGGGCGGUCGCCUCCCAAAAGG